AUGGUUUAUAAGUUUUAUACAAAUUUUUCUUUCUUCAAUAAAAGGGGUUUCGUGGAUUCAAAGGGUUUCAAGGGUGCCACAUGGAAGUGUGUCAAAUUACCUCACAGCCUACAACCAGAUGCCACAUCAUGUGGGGUGUUUGUGUGUAAGUUUGCAGAAGCACUUCUUCUCGGGGGAGACUUGACCUUCUCAUGCACAGACGCAAACAUUGCACAGAUGCGUGAAGACCUGGCUCUAUGCCUUUUGAAAGAAUCAGAACCUCUGGAUAACCUGUGCCUGGCUUGUGGAGAAGAAUAUCCCCACACACCAGACCAGAUAGACACUUGGGUAUGUUAGAUUAUUUAUUUAUUUACACCCAUAU
ensembl:lncRNA